UCUGGAGUUACUGAAACAUUUAUCACAUUUAUUUUCUUUAUUAUGAUGCACAGAUAUCAGUCAGUAUAUAUCCUGACCAGAUUUGAAAAACUAUCAUAAAUCAAUACAGUUUUCUGCCUAAAAAGUUCUUUGUGUGUUUCAGAUUAGCUCACCUUUGGCGCAGUAUCCCAUGCACCCCUGUGUGGGCUGCAGACGGUACACCAUGAACUCCCCGCAGUUGCGCACGGUGACGGGGAUGCGAAAGAGGCAGCAGUCCUUGGCGCUGCCAUGGAAGAACUGCCAGGUGGCGCAGGCGGAGAGCUGCCGGAGCUCGCCGGGCCGUGGCAGCGGGGCAUCCUUCAGCGACAGCCACACCGGAGCCUGAGUGCCGCAGCGGUUCAUCUGAAAACAGGCAAUACAUCCAAAGGAGGUGGGCAUCUCCGCCGGCUUGUUGUUGAUCCAGAAGCGGUACCAGCCCGGGGACAGAGAGUGAUCACAGAUUAGAUCCUGGAUGGCCGUGUCCUGGAUCUCCGUGGAGUCGAAGUCGACGCUGCGAUAGGGGUUACGCAGAGUCCGGUGACCUCCGGGGUAACACUCUGGAGCUGGAAGGUGGAAAUCACACAGUGAUUUAGCAGAUGUCUGUUUUUAAGUCUCUUUUUGGAUCGCCUCCUUUCCGUUUGGUCCUUUGAGUUCCAGAUCUGUGAAUUUAAUCAUGAGGAAAUGAAAAACUGCAGUAUCUCAGGCCCUGUUUCCCCCCGGAGUCGUGUCUUUAUCUUUGACUGGGUCCUGCUGUGAGGUCUGACGACAGACGUGAAGGAGAUAGACGAAACAAAAGCAACACAAGUCAGCGUGGGAAAGACAUUGACUUUCUCCCCUGACACUGCAGCUGGCAUUGAGCAGAUGAGCAGGAAGCAUCACGAAGAACAACAGACAUUCCUGCGAGCCUCUCGCCUCUCUAAACUCACCCCGGGAGGAGACAGUACAGCCAACUGCGCAUGACCGACCUCCGAACACCUCCUGCAGCUGCAGCUCGAGACUACUGGGAAUUAUCUGAGAGGAACCUGUAGUUUUUCACCCUAACACACUCUGAAAAGCUCUACAUCUCUAAAGAAAUAUGCAAAGAAUCUUCCCUGUCUGCUGGAAUUUGUGUUUUCUGGACCUGGUUACUCGUUUCGUUCAAGAUGUAUAGCAUAAAGUAUGGUAGCUAGCUCAAAAAGUGACUUUAGUCUGUAAUAUGACAUCAUUUUGUCUAAAUACUACAACUUU